rnacentral:piRNA from 1 species
UGGUGGGCUGAAAUUUCUUGUUGGU